rnacentral:rRNA from 1 species
GACGUAGGGCGCGAGCGUUGUCCGGAUUUAUUGGGCGUAAAGAGCUCGUAGGCGGCUUGUCGCGUCGUUCGUGAAAACCCACAGCUCAACUGUGGGCUUGCGGUCGAUACGGGCAGGCUGGAGUUCGGUAGGGGAGACUGGAAUUCCUGGUGUAGCGGUGAAAUGCGCAGAUAUCAAGAGGAACACCAGUGGCGAAGGCGAGUCCCUGGACAAACCCUGACACUGAGGCACGAAAGCCAAGGGAGCAAACAGG